GCGAAAUUCCUUGUCGGGUAAGUUCCGACCUGCACGAAUGGUGCAACGAUCUGGACACUGUCUCGGGCAUGAGCUCGGUGAAAUUGUAGUAACGGUGAAGAUGCCGUUUACCCGCAGUGGGACGAAAAGACCCCGUGCACCUUUACUAUAGCUUCGUAUUGACCCUGGAUAAGUAAUGUGUAGGAUAGCUAGGAGACUUUGAAGCGGCGUCGCCAGGCGUUGUGGAGUCAUUGUUGAAAUACUAGCCUUUGCUUAUUUGGGGCCUAACUCUCUUAAGAGAGAACAGUGCGUGGUGGGUAGUUUGACUGGGGUGGUCGCCUCCAAAAGAGUAACGGAGGCUUCCAAAGGUUCCCUCAGCACGCUUGGUAACCGUGCGUAGAGUGCAAUGGCACAAGGGAGCUUGACUGUGAGACCGACAAGUCGAUCAGGUAGGAAACUAGGGCAUAGUGAUCCGGUGGUUCCGCAUGGAAGGGCCAUCGCUCAAAGGAUAAAAGGUACUCCGGGG
rnacentral:rRNA from 1 species